rnacentral:lncRNA from 1 species
CUUAUUUGCUAUGUUGUCAUCAGGAAGAGUGAUGCCCAUAGCAGGAUGCAGCUGAGUGUUAUCACAGUCCCUAGGCUUACAGACUGUGUGCAGACAGUGGCAUACUUGUGUCCCUCCAACCUUCAAACAUCAGUGAGGCCAGAGAGAGGCAACCUAAGUCUGACUGAAAUCUUGUGUCGCUGCGCAGGAGUUGGUCAUGCUGCUUGUAUGACUCAGCCUGUACAUUCACACUUGCUUGUGGAUGUACAUUUCAUUUUACUGUUCAAAAGGUGAAGGUACUUAAAACUACAUACUACAAGUCUGAUGAAUGCAGAGAUGUUUGAUCCUCUUUUCUGUGGAAAGCUCUUUUUGCUCCAAAGCAAGCAGUGUGGUUAAAUGUCAAGUAUGUGACCAAAGCUUGGUGACAAAGUAGUCCUGCUGCUCUGCAUUAGUGCAGGGUGUUCAGUAUGGCCAAAAUCCUCCCACACGUACAAUUUCAUAUGCAACAAAUAGGUGACUUUGUAUCAUGUUUCAUUGAAACUUAGUUUAUUUAGAACACGCUUUAUUUGUAAGUGGUUUGAGUCACGUUUUAGUUCCUACUUCCAUUAAGAAAGCUUCAGCUAUAUAAGGCAAAGUGAUCUGUCCAUUCAGAAUGCAUCACUUCCUUUCAAGAGAUGACAUGUUUAACCAUCUUCCCAUCUCUUGGACAUGUUACCUAUGACUUUAUAUCUUAACAUAUUUCUUUUGUGAAAGAAAGUUUUGAAGAUAAACAAAGAUCUGAGUUCUUACUAUUCGUGGUUGAAAGGUUUCUGGGUUUGAUCUCUUCUCUUUGGCUAGUGCUCAUCCCUGAGCAGUUUCUGAAUGCUUAUUUCCUAUUCUUUCCACUGCCUGCCACAUAACUAGAGUCAAAGUAUCUCUC